GUGCACAUUUUAUUGUCUUUUUUUCUUCAUAUCAAGGGAAAAGAUAUUUCUGAUGUGCUAAACAAACUUUUGGAGGUAAAUUAGCAACAUGACUGUUUCUGCCACUGUUGUCAGUCACCUUCAAACAAGU
rnacentral:snoRNA from 1 species